GCACAAGCGGAGAACAUGUGGUUUAAUUCGUAUGAUACGCGAGGAACCUUACCUGGGCUUAAUGUAGAGUGCUAUUUUUAGUAGAUAGAAAUUCCCUUCGGGGCUUUCUGCAAGGUGCUGCAUGGUUGUCGUCAGCUCGUGCCGUGAGGUGUCGGGUUAAGUCCCAUAACGAGCGCAACCCUUAUCGUUAGUUGCCAGCGGGUAAUGCCGGGGACUCUAGCGAAACUGCCGGUGUAAACCGAGAGGAAGGUGGGAUGACGUCAAAUCAGCACGGCCCUUAUGUCCAGGGCUACACACGUGUUACAAUGGCCGGUACAGAGGGCAGCUACCUGGAGACAGGAUGCGAAUCUCGAAAGCCGGUCUCAGUUCGGAUCGGAGUCUGCAACUCGACUCCGUGAAGCUGGAUUCGCUAGUAAUCGCGCAUCAGCCAUGGCGCGGUGAAUACGUUCCCGGGCCUU
rnacentral:rRNA from 1 species